UGGACAACUGAGGAUAGUCACAUAAUUAUACUCAACUUUCAAAAUGAUUUUCAACAUACGUUGAAUACGGAUAUUCAGACAGUGCUUCUGACGAAUGAGUGGAUUCCUGGGGAAAUACUGUUGACGAUACAUCCAAAAAGUGAUUUAGGUAAGUCGGGAGAAAUCAGAAGGACAGGAGUUUAUGUAAAUCGAACACUUAGUAGAAUGGAGGAUGUUCGAUUCGAAGAUCCUUAUGAUCUCAAUAAAGCAAGCACUAUGGAAAAUAAACUUGUGUUGCUUGGUGAGGCAUCUGAUACACAACAACAAGCACAAUCCUCUGCUUUAUUCAACCUCACAACCUCACUAGAAUCUGUUAUUGGUGAACAACCUUUGAAUUAUGAGUACAACAAUUCAGAUUCAAAAGAAUCGGCAUCCACUGUUGACUCCAAUAACCAAGGAGUACUUGUAGAUGAUCAACCAAUAUUAGCUCCAAG
rnacentral:sRNA from 1 species